rnacentral:rRNA from 1 species
AGGCGCAAAGCCAGGGAGCGAACGGAUUAGAUACCCCGGUAGUCCUGGCCUUAAACGAUGAAUGCUUGUUGUCUGGGGUUAUAUACUCCCCGGGUGCCGUCGCUAACGCUUUAAGCAUUCCCCCUGGGGAGUACGGUCGCAAGACUGAAACUCAAAGAAUUGACGGGACCCGCACAAGCGGUGGAGCAUGUGGUUUAUUUCUGACGCAACGCGAAGGAACCUUACCUGGCUAGAAUGCCUCUGACAACCCCAAAGAUGGGCCCUCCUAGGUAAAACUUGACAAGUGCAAGGUGCUGCAUGGCUGUCGUCAGCUCGAUGUCGUGAGAUGUUGGGUUAAGUCCCGCAACAAGCAUCAACCCUUAUCUUUAGUUAGCCAGCAUUUAGUUGGGCACUCUAGAGAGACUGCCGUUGACGAAACGGAGGAAGGUGUGGAUGACUCAAGUCCUCAUGGCCUUUAUGUCCAGGGCUACACAC